CGGACGGGUGAGUAAUGUAUGGGGAUCUGCCUGAUGGCGGGGGAUAACUACUGGAAACGGUAGCUAAUACCGCAUAACGUCGCAAGACCAAAGAGGGGGACCUUGGGCCUCUUGCCAUCGGAUGUGCCCAGGUGGGAUUAGCUAGUAGGUGGGGUAACGGCUCACCUAGGCGACGAUCCCUAGCUGGUCUGAGAGGAUGACCAGCCACACUGGAACUGAGACACGGUCCAG
rnacentral:rRNA from 1 species